GGACUAAUAUGUUGGUCGUGCCUCGGUACGUACUGGCUUGUUGGUUUCUACCUUCUGACGAACCAUGAUGUCAUUAAUUUGGUGUCUUGGGGAAUCAGGACUGUUACUUUGAAAAAAUUAGAGUGUUUAAAGCGGGCAUUUGCUUGAAUACAUUAGCAUGGAAUAAUGAAAUAGGACGGACGGUUCUAUUUUGUUGGUUAUGGGACCACCGUA
rnacentral:rRNA from 1 species